rnacentral:rRNA from 1 species
GAGUUUGAUCAUGGCUCAGGAUGAACGCUGGCGGCGUGCUUAACACAUGCAAGUCGAACGAAGCACUACCGACGGAACUUUUCGGAGGGAAGAUGGUAAUGACUGAGUGGCGGACGGGUGAGUAACGCGUGGGCAACCUGCCCCAUAGAGGGGGACAACAGCUGGAAACGGCUGCUAAUACCGCAUAACAAGGAGAGAGCGCAUGUUCUUUUCUUCAAAGAUUUAUCGCUAUGGGAUGGACCCGCGUCUGAUUAGCUGGUUGGUGAGGUAACGGCUCACCAAGGCGACGAUCAGUAGCCGGCUUGAGAGAGUGGACGGCCACAUUGGGACUGAGACACGGCCCAGACUCCUACGGGAGGCAGCAGUGGGGAAUAUUGCACAAUGGGGAAACCCUGAUGCAGCGACGCCGCGUGAGCGAUGAAGUAUUUCGGUAUGUAAAGCUCUAUCAGCAGGGAAGAAAAUGACGGUACCUGAUUAAGAAGCCCGGCUAACUACGUGCCAGCCGCC